AGCGUAUUUUGCCCAGGCGGAGCUCGACCGCCACUGGAAAAAAUAAUGCCGCUUCUGGAAAAUCUGAGCGGUGAACACGGGGUCGGGCCAGUCUGUCAUGAGCUGGAUAUUGCUCCG
rnacentral:ncRNA from 2 species